AACGAACGCUGGCGGCAUGCCUAACACAUGCAAGUCGAACGAGAUCUUCGGAUCUAGUGGCGCACGGGUGCGUAACGCGUGGGAAUCUGCCCCUUGCUUCGGAAUAACAGUGAGAAAUUACUGCUAAUACCGGAUGAUGUCUUCGGACCAAAGAUUUAUCGGCAAGGGAUGAGCCCGCGUAGGAUUAGGUAGUUGGUGGGGUAAUGGCCUACCAAGCCGACGAUCCUUAGCUGGUCUGAGAGGAUGAUCAGCCACACUGGGACUGAGACACGGCCCAGACUCCUACGGGAGGCAGCAGUGGGGAAUAUUGGACAAGGGGCGAAAGCCUGAUCCAGCAAUGCCGCGUGAGUGAUGAAGGCCUUAGGGUUGUAAAGCUCUUUUACCAGGGAUGAUAAUGACAGUACCUGGAGAAUAAGCUCCGGCUAACUCCGUG
rnacentral:rRNA from 1 species